rnacentral:rRNA from 1 species
UACGUAGGGGGCUAGCGUUGUCCGGAUUUAUUGGGCGUAAAGAGCGUGUAGGCGGCCAGGUAGGUCUGCUGUGAAAACUCGAGGCUCAACCUCGAGACGUCGGCGGAAACCAUCUGGCUAGAGUCCGGAAGAGGAGAGUGGAAUUCCUGGUGUAGCGGUGAAAUGCGCAGAUAUCAGGAAGAACACCCGUGGCGAAGGCGGCUCUCUGGGACGGUACUGACGCUGAGACGCGAAAACUGGGGAGCGAACAGG